UACAGAGGUGGCAAGCGUUGUUCGGAAUUACUGGGCGUAAAGGGCGCGUAGGCGGUCUUUUAAGUCUUGUGUGAAAUCCCUCAGCUCAACUGAGGAACUGCACGGGAUACUAGAAGACUUGAGUUCGAAAAAAAGAAGCGGAAUUCCGGAUGUAGCGGUGAAAUGCGUAGAUAUCGGGAAGAACACCCGUGGCGAAGGCGGCUCUCUGGGACGGUACUGACGCUGAGACGCGAAAGCGUGGGGAGCGAACAGG
rnacentral:rRNA from 1 species